UUCUCCAGCGGAGGGCACUCAGUGUAUCACAAACUCCAGCAUUAGCACCAACCAGCUCUGAGCACCAUCAGUCUCCGGAAAGCCUUCUGAAUUAGACAAGGGCUGCCUCUCAGCACAGCUACAAAACACUUUCAACCUGACCAGCUAAAUGGAUAAACCUAGCCCGCAUAGCUUUUAAACUGGGGUCUCACACAGCACAGGCGGCCUGCUUGCUUCAACAACUGAAAAAUCCUGAGGAUGAAUUGCUUUAUCUGGGAAUGGCAAAAGCCAGCACAAUAAGGAAUGCCAGGUUUUGGUCUAAUCACGCAGCUGAAAGGCAUGAGUGUGUUUCUGGUGCUAUUUCCCACCCUGCUGCUGGUUAUGCUGACGGGGGCUCAGAGAGCUUGCCCGAAGAAUUGCAGAUGUGAUGGCAAGAUUGUGUACUGUGAGUCUCACGCCUUUGCAGACAUCCCUGAGAACAUUUCUGGAGGGUCACAAGGUUUAUCCUUAAGGUUCAACAGCAUUCAGAAACUCAAAUCCAAUCAGUUUGCUGGCCUUAACCAGCUUAUAUGGCUUUAUCUUGACCAUAAUUACAUUAGCUCAGUGGAUGAAGAUGCCUUUCAAGGGAUCCGCAGACUGAAAGAAUUAAUUCUAAGCUCCAACAAAAUUACCUAUCUGCACAAUAAAACAUUUCACUCAGUCCCCAAUCUCCGCAACCUGGAUCUCUCCUACAACAAACUUCAGACCUUGCAAUCUGAGCAGUUUAAAGGCCUCCGGAAACUCAUCAUUUUGCACUUGCGAUCUAAUUCCCUAAAGACUGUGCCCAUAAGGGUUUUUCAAGACUGCCGGAACCUUGACUUUCUGGAUUUGGGUUACAAUCGUCUCAGAAGCUUAUCCCGAAAUGCAUUUGCUGGUCUUCUGAAGUUGAAGGAGCUCCACCUGGAGCACAAUCAGUUUUCAAAGAUCAACUUUGCGCAUUUUCCUCGUCUCUUCAACCUGCGAUCCAUUUACCUGCAGUGGAACCGAAUCCGCUCUGUGAGCCAAGGCCUAACUUGGACCUGGAGUUCCUUGCACACCUUGGAUCUAUCAGGGAAUGACAUCCAAGCGAUCGAGCCUGGCACAUUUAAAUGCCUCCCCAAUUUACAAAAAUUGAAUUUGGAUUCCAACAAGCUCACCAACGUCUCCCAGGAGACCGUGAAUGCAUGGAUAUCCUUAAUAUCCAUCACCUUGUCUGGAAACAUGUGGGAAUGCAGUCGGAGCAUCUGUCCUCUGUUCUACUGGCUGAAGAAUUUCAAAGGGAAUAAAGAAAGUACCAUGAUAUGUGCAGGGCCUAAGCACAUACAGGGAGAGAAGGUCAGCGAUGCUGUGGAGACUUACAACAUCUGCUCUGAGGUCCAGGUGGUCAACACAGAAAGAUCACACCUGGCUCCUCAAACUCCCCAGAAGCCCCCGUUCAUCCCCAAACCUACCAUCUUCAAACCUGAUGCCAUCCCAGCCACCCUGGAGUCAGCAAGUCCAUCCCCGGGCUUUCAGAUUCCAGGGACGGAUCAUGAGUAUGAGCAUGUGUCAUUUCACAAAAUCAUCGCAGGAAGUGUGGCUUUGUUCCUCUCGGUAGCCAUGAUUCUCCUGGUGAUCUAUGUGUCUUGGAAAAGGUACCCAGCCAGUAUGAAACAACUCCAACAGCACUCGCUCAUGAAGAGGCGACGGAAAAAGGCAAGGGAGUCAGAGAGACAAAUGAAUUCCCCUUUACAGGAAUACUACGUGGACUACAAGCCGACGAACUCUGAGACCAUGGAUAUAUCGGUUAAUGGAUCUGGUCCCUGCACAUAUACCAUCUCUGGCUCCAGGGAGUGUGAGAUACCCCACCAUGUGAAGCCCUUGCCAUAUUACAGCUACGACCAACCAGUGAUCGGGUACUGCCAGGCCCACCAGCCUCUCCACAUCAACAAGGCCUAUGAGGCUAUGUCCAUAGACCAGGAUGACAGCCCCAGCCUGGAGCUUGGGAGAGACCACAGCUUCAUCGCCACCAUAGCCAGGUCGGCUGCACCUGCCAUUUACCUGGAGAGAAUAACAAACUAACCGUGUAGCCAACUGCUUAAUGCAGAGCUCCCAAGAGAAGAGAGGCCUUCAUCGCAAAGGAGAUGAGGUGUUCAGCAUCUUCCAGCCUCAAGAGUUCAUUGAUCAUGUACAGAAGUUUAGGGCAUAGUGAGAAAAAACAAAAAAACUGAAACUGCUUAUGAGGUUGGGCAGCGGGUGAACCUGCCACCAACUCGGGAGAAUGCAGAACUUUCCUUGCUUUAAAACAUAAAACAAACACAAGUACUCCCGGAUGUAAAUAGUCAAGAGUGUUAAGUUCUUAUAAAAAUAGAUUUCACCCUAGCUCUCUAUAGGUUUGUUUGUAUAUUUGAUUUUUCUACACUGCAUGGUUCCUGGGCUGAGAACCACAAGGGGGAGGGUGGGAGUUUUGGGGGAAACAAUAUAGUUUUCCUUGUAAAGUGUGCAUAACACGCACAGACCUAGUUUCCAUUUUGUUUUUCCUUUAAAAUCUGGUUUUAUUCGUUGGUUUAUUUCAUUUUUUUUCUUAAUUUCCUGGUGGAAUGACUUUCUGCUUCUAAAUAUGCGUACUUACAUGGUACCAAAAGAAGAUUUGGUUUUGCACUGACCUCAAGUAAAGAAAAUUGACCACAACAUUCAAUAAACUAUGGGAAUGAGUUAAAUACAUCAAAGUGUAUAUUCCUUCAGUACACAUUAUAGAUGGCAUUAAGAACUCUGGUUUAGUCCUCCAUUGGUAUCGAUCAUGGAAGGAAACCUGAUAACCAGACCUGUGAACACCUGGAGUGGAAAAGAACCUGAGAACUAUCCUCGGCAGAGAGAGGGUCUUGGUGAACAAUUGACAUGGAUGGUCCAGUAAAGGAAACUGUCAAGGAAUGAAUUUCUAAACUCAAGAUAAUGUGAGUUCUGAGUUGCACUUUACUACAUCCUGAGAAUCUGGGCUUCUUAAAAGCUGAACAUUAUAUUUCUUUUGACCAUGUUACCACUCACCUAAUUUCUGCUUGAACAUUGCAAUAUUUUCCUAUUGGACCAACUCUGGUGAAUUCCCAGUACUUUCAACUCCUCCUACACUCAGCAUGUUCUGUUGGCCACUGUUUUAGUCACUGUCCUAUUGCUGUGAGGAGACACUAUGACCACAGUGACUCUUAUAAAAGGUAGCAUUUAACUGGAGCUUUGCAUAUGGUUGCAAAGGUUUAGAGUAUUUUUAUCAUGAUGGUGAGUGUGGUGGCAUGCAUG